GUACCUACAAGAAUCAAGAGUGCCGUUUGUUGCCAUCAAAUUUACUUGACCCGCGGAUUCUCUCUGCAUAAUGGAACUGCCGAAAGAUGGUGCCCUUUUAAAACCGUUGUACGGUUUCAUAUACGAAGCUAAAAUGUCCUGGGAUAUUGAGGAUUACGGAUGCUUUAUCUAGACUUUGGAGGAAAGGAAGGCGAAGUUCAACUGGAUCUUCACUCUUGUCCAAAGCCAAUUGUGUUCAUCAUCCAUUCAUUCCUUUCAGCCAAGAUUACGAGACUUGGUCUGGUAGCAUAAACUCUGUCCAUCGAUUUUUGUUUGCACAAAAGAAAACAGGAACAAAAGGCUAAUCAGAAUGGCAACAGGCAGUCUGGCCACAAGCGUGGCUGCACCCAACAUAUGUAACCGCUGCGUGCAGGAACUUUGCUUGUGUUGGGACAGUUACGAGAACAAAGUGCAGAAGAAAUAAGAAUAAUCAAGGGAAACCCGAGAGCGCAAGAACAUUCACUUCAACUAAUUUUGAUUUGCAGUGGGGACGUGAAUGGGGGAGACACAACAUAGAUCACUAUGAAUAAUGGCAAACUGCUGAAGGAAUCAUUGCAUCGGUGUUUCAGAUUCAUUAUUGUGCCUGUCAGUGAUACAGAAUAGUAGAUUUUCAACUGGGUUUGAAAGGAUUUGGGGAUUCCUUGGGAUAAUCAGGAGCUUCGAGAAGAUCAAUAUUAGAAGUCAUGCUUCCUUGAAAGAUAGCUUGUCCUCACUUAUCUUCCAGUGCAACAGCUAUCGCGGCUGCAAAGUAAAAGUAUUGGAGUGCUUUCUAGGAUACAGAUCUUUACAAAAAGAACAGAAACAAGUAGCUACUGCUGGCAGCCUGGUACAAAACAAAUGAAGCGUGCCUUAAAAACACCACCCGUGCUCUUCUGCAACAUUUAGAGGGUUUUGGCACAUAAAGGGAUGUAGCUAGGGUCCCUUGAUUAGGAAGUUUUGAAAACUACUACAGUGAUCAAGGGCUAAGUAAAUAGGCUAUAAUACACUAGGUACUCACCUGUAUUGGAUUUGAUCAAUGAAAUUGUCAGACGCUAUGUAUAACGGAAUCUUUUCUCUGAGCAAUCUUCCAGUUUUGAUAAAGUGCCAGAAGAGAACACCUUUCUGCAACCUGUACACCAGCUAAAUCAUUAGCUGCCUAGAUGCUAGAGCCACACAGGAUGAGAAUGGCUUGAAAGCUCACAGUAUUCGUGCUGUUUUUCUCCAAAAGAUCUGUAAAUGCCACAGUAUCACUGCAUAAUUUGGGGUUGGGAGGGGAAGGCCAGAGCCGGCUGCAGCAACAAGAUAGUAUUCCUAAGCCACGCAACCACCAACGGAAUACCCAAGGUGUGUCUUAAGUGCCUUUAUUUAGGAUAGACAGAAGGUUAGCCACUCCUAACAUGUAGCUUCAUAAGCUGCUGUGUUCAUCCCGCUGGUAGAAUGAAAUAAGCUGACUUUUUAAAAAAAGGCUUUAUUCAGUAGAUAACUUUUGUAAUAAAUUCUGAGAUGCACGAUGCAGCGCUAACCACUUUGGUGGAACUACAGUGAAGGCAGCAAUUGAUUUUUAUUUGCAGGCCGCAUGCUUAAGCAAGCAUGAGCUGAUAGGCAGGCCCACUAGGUGCCCCUGUUGGGUUAUCUCCACACCAGAUACCAUCCUCCCCAGCACGGACAGCCACAGAGACAAAGGCAAAGCUUGGCCUUACUGUGUGUCCUGAUUCACAGGGCUGCAUAACUGAGAGGCCCUCUGCUCCAAUUUACAAAGUUGUGGGGUGGUAUCUCAAGGGUUAAGGUUCAUGGGGCAGGUGGAAAGGCUUACAGACAGAGGUUAGAUGUAGUCCUUCUCUUUCCCUAUCAUGAAAUGUCAUUUUAUGCACAAUAUGAAAGCAAUAUUGCGUGCACCAACACUGUCCUGUAUAUUUUUAAAAAGGCAAUUGGGUAGACUAGCAGCAGCUGGAGCUAGUGGCUCAUGGUAAUAUAAAUAUCCACUUGUAGAUAUUUUGGAACACAACUACCUUUGAUAUCUGCAGGCAGGCAGGCAAAGGGAACUCUCUGGUUUCAUUUUAAUUGUGCUCCUUGGAAAUUAGAUGGGUUAAAUGAAUGUUCACUUCAUCAAACAGAGAGUUGUGAUUUUUGUGCGCAUGCCAAGCCUUAAAAGAUCUUGCUUCUCUUACCGAAGACACACCUCACGUUCUGUAAGCAUGUUAGUGUUAGCUGCUAUUGAUGGGCAAAAUCCUUUGUGGAUAGAGGAGCUGAUAUAGAUGCAGCAUUUCUGAACGCUAAACCAUAGUCCAAAGGGUCUGCAGAAUUGCACGCACUGUUGCCUGAGAAAUAUCACAAGCCGGGGGCAUCUCGAUUAAAAUUUAAAGCUGAUUAAGCAACCCCAUGUUAAGAACAAACUUGGUUAGCCUCCAUCAUGGUUAGCAGUACUGAAGAUGGGCAGGAGAAUUUAGUGUCAUACGAGGGAGCACACAGACUCCCCCACGUCUUAGCCCUCCACAGUUAAAAUACAAGCAGCAUUACAUAUACCCUAGUUCUGAACUGGGUUGGUAUAUAAAAUAGCACGGUUCCACAGAGGGUUUCAAGCAUGUGCCCUUAUAGCAAUUUUUAGUAAUCCUGAGGUAUUUUAAGAAACCUACUAUCCUUAUAGAGACCUCUAAAACAGUUUGAAGUGCACAAAACUUUUGUGUGCACACAGGCCUCCUCUUUCACUUCAACCGAGAGAAGAAGUACGUUCUUAGCAGAUCUCCUUUCUCCGUUUACUUAGGACAGCUUUGAAAAAAGGGAGCCACCCCAUGAAUUCAUUAGAGCCUCUGUGUCUGUCAGCUAAAGAAUUGCAGGUAUUUUAGAUUAAACUGCCUUUUGUAAAAAGUUAAAGAACACACAGAAUUACCAACCUAAGCGAUCACAGCCUUGCCUGAAUUAAGAAUUUUCCCUUAAAUCUUCAAUUAACCACAAAUGGAACGUUUUUCAUUUGAAUGACAGAAAUUAAAAAUAAUCUAGAAUAUUGUGUAUGGUAAGGAAAGUGGAUGCAUAUGUAAAUUGUACUGCUUCUUUAAAUACUUCUUUUAAAAUCACUGGAAUGUUAUAGAUAAGAUGAUCUUCCUUGUAAAUAAUCAGCAUUCAUCUAUUAGUUAUCAACAAAUUACACAGUAUGUCAUGUAAUUUAUGGUGCUCAGAUUAUAAUAUGAAGAAUAAGUGAAUAACUAGUUUGUAAAAAGAAAUUAUUAUAUAUUUAUAGACAAAUUAAAUACAGAUUUUGAACUGACUGUUAUUUGGUUGGGGAUGAUAGAAUGGAAUAUAUGGAGCUACUCCAAAUUUAUAAGAAUUUAGUUUAAAAUAUUUAUAUUUUAGAGGAAAAGACUAUAUUUAAUAAAAAAUAUCAUUUACUGGAA